AAUGAACGUUGGCGGCAUGGAUUAGGCAUGCAAGUCGAGCGAGAAGGGUUUUGAAGCUUGCUUUAGAACCCGGAAAGCGGCGAAAGGGAGAGUAACGAGUAGUUAUCUACCCCAAGGCCCGGAAUAGCUGCGGGAAACUGCAGGUAAUGCCGGAUAAUAUCCCCGGAUCAAAGGUGUGAUUCCGCCUUGGGAGGAGACUGCUUUGUACUAGCUUGUUGGUAGGGUAAUGGCCUACCAAGGCUACGAUGCAUAGCGGGCGUGAGAGCGUGGCCCGCCUCACUGGGACUGAAACACUGCCCAGACACCUACGGGUGGCUGCAGUCGAGAAUCUUCGGCAAUGGGCGAAAGCCUGACCGAGCGAUGCCGCGUGCGGGAUGAAGGCCCUCGGGUUGUAAACCGCUGUCGUAGAGGAGAAAGGUCUCGUGAAGAGCGAGAUUUGAUCUAUUCUAGGAGGAAGUCGGGGCUAAGUUCGUGCCAGCAGCCGCCGUAAAAC
rnacentral:rRNA from 1 species